AUGUUCAAAUUACUUUCAACACUUGUUCUCCCAGUUUUCUUCCUGAGCUUUGCCAUCGCAUGGGCGAAUCCGAGCAACACGACGGGCCUAAGCUUCCAAAUAGUCGCCCUUAGUCGGGCGGCCCCUGACGGGCAUGCCAGCAAUGGCUCGGCCUACACCACCGAGGACGUGCGUCUGCCGAUUUCAACAUCGGCCCGGUAUACUUACGGCGUGUUCGUGUUGCUCGGCACCGGGGAAGGCACCAGGCUGAAGGUCCUCGGCCUCGACACCGAAAUCAGCACAUCGUGGGUGAUGUGCGAGCCGUGCCACCCGUCGCCGCCGCAGGUCGGCAACCUCUUCUCACCAAGCGCGUCGCCCACAUUCCAUGGCGUCCACAACAACGAUCCGGUUUGCAUCACACCCUACCGGAAGACGGCUCACGGCUGCUCCUUCCACUUCUCUUCGAUCACCGGGUACCUCUCGCGCGACACCUUCCACCUCCGCACCGGCCGAGCGGGCGCGGUCAGGGAGUCUAUUCCUCGUGUUGUGUUCGGUUGCGCACACUCGUCGACCGGGUUCCACAAUGACAACACCCUUGGCGGGGUGCUGUCCUUGAGCCACCUGCCGCUCUCGCUCCUGACACAACUUGGUGGGCACGCCGGCGGGAGGUUCUCCUACUGCCUCCCCAUGCCCACCGUGCACAAUCCCCAUGCCCAACAUGGCGUUUCACUUUGA
rnacentral:rRNA from 1 species